GGUCACGAGAGCCAGCGACAAGCCCCAGCUAGCUGGCCGGCAACCCUCCUUCCGCGGUGGGGUGCCCUGGGUGAGGACCGGGCCGGUCGCGCACGCGUCACGGCAAGCGCGGGUC
rnacentral:ncRNA from 2 species